rnacentral:rRNA from 1 species
CGAACGGGUGAGUAACACGUAGGGAACCUGCCCGUGCACCGGGAAUACGCUCUGGAAACGGAGAACAAAUCCCGAUGUACAGGAAGGAGGCAUCUUCUUUCUGUGAAACAUCCUUUAGGGGAUGGGGCGCGGAUGGACCUGCGGUGCAUUAGUUGGUUGGCGGGGUAAAGGCCCACCAAGACGAUGAUGCAUAGCCGGCCUGAGAGGGCGGACGGCCACAUUGGGACUGAGACACGGCCCAGACUCCUACGGGAGGCAGCAG